UACGAAGGGGGCUAGCGUUGCUCGGAAUCACUGGGCGUAAAGGGUGCGUAGGCGGGUUUAGUUACGAGGGGUGAAAUCCUGGAGCUCAACUCCAGAACUGCCUUUGAUACUGAAGAUCUUGAGUUCGGGAGAGGUGAGUGGAACUGCGAGUGUAGAGGUGAAAUUCGUAGAUAUUCGCAAGAACACCAGUGGCGAAGGCGGCUCACUGGCCCGAUACUGACGCUGAUGCACGGAAAGCGUGGGGAGCAAACAGG
rnacentral:rRNA from 1 species